rnacentral:rRNA from 1 species
GAUGAACGCUAGCUGCAGGCUUAACACAUGCAAGUCGAGGGACCGGCGCGCGGGUGAGUAACGCGUAUCCAACCUGCCUUUUACUCGGGGAUCGCCUUUAGAGAGAAAGAUUAAUACCCGAUAUGAAGGAUGGGGAUGCGUUCCAUUAGGUUGUUGGUGAGGUAACGGCACACCCAGGCUUCGAUGGAUAGGGGUUCUGAGAGGAAGGUCCCCCACAUUGGAACUGAGACACGGUCCAAACUCAUACGGGAGGCAGCAGUGAGGAAUAUUGGUCAAUGGGCGAGAGCCUGAUCCAGCCAAGUAGCGUGAAGGAUGAAGGCUUAGGGUUCUUAAACUUCUUUUAUAUAAGAAUAUGUAUUAUAUGAAUACGCAUCGUCUCACUCCGUGCGAGCAGCCGGUAAUAC